rnacentral:rRNA from 1 species
AUUGAACGCUGGCGGCAUGCUUUACGCAUGCAAGUCGAACGGUAACAGGCCGCAAGGUGCUGACGAGUGGCGAACGGGUGAGUAAUGCAUCGGAACGUGCCCAGUCGUGGGGGAUAACGCAGCGAAAGCUGCGCUAAUACCGCAUACGAUCUGUGGAUGAAAGCGGGGGACCGUAAGGCCUCGCGCGAUUGGAGCGGCCGAUGUCAGAUUAGGUAGUUGGUGGGGUAAAGGCUCACCAAGCCGACGAUCUGUAGCUGGUCUGAGAGGACGACCAGCCACACUGGGACUGAGACACGGCCCAGACUCCUACGGGAGGCAGCAGUGGGGAAUUUUGGACAAUGGGGGCAACCCUGAUCCAGCAAUGCCGCGUGCAGGAAGAAGGCCUUCGGGUUGUAAACUGCUUUUGUACGGAACGAAACGGCUCUGGUUAAUACCUGGGGCUAAUGACGGUACCGUAAGAAUAAGCACCGGCUAACUACGUGCCAGCCGCCGCAGUAAUAC